rnacentral:lncRNA from 1 species
AUGUACCAAACAGCACUAAUGGAGAGUGGCUUCAUCCUCAAUGAUCCAAAGGAUUUUGCCUCCCGAAUCUAUAGCUCAGUAAAAAGCAGUCUCAACAUCAAUCCCGACGCAACAGUCGAGGAGGAAGAUGAUGUCGAGGAAGUUGAGGUGGAAUCCAGCACGAUUGAAGCAGAAUCUUCGUCCAAGACUGAGGAUUCUCCUACAGAUGAUGUUGAUACCGAGCCUUCUGCUGUCAAGGAUGAGUUGUAGAUUUAUAAGGCCAAACAAUGGGCGAUCUUAAAGUUGGGAUUUCAAAUUUCCCAUCACUUCAGAAAAUUCUUGAAACGUUUCCCGGUAUUUCAG